AAGCGUAAUAGCUCACUGAUCGAGUCGUCCUGCGCGGAAGAUGUAACGGGGCUAAGCCAGUCACCGAAGCUGCGGAUAUUUUUCUCUUUGCUUGCAUCGAGAUCAAUAUGGUAGGAGAGCGUUCUGUAAGCCUGCGAAGGUGUCUUGUAAAGGAUGCUGGAGGUAUCAGAAGUGCGAAUGCUGACAUGAGUAGCGAUAAUGCGGGUGAAAAGCCCGCACGCCGUAAGCCCAAGGUUUCCUGUUCAACGUUCAUCGGAGCAGGGUGAGUCGGCCCCUAAGGCGAGGCAGAGAUGCGUAGCUGAUGGGAAGCAGGUUAAUAUUCCUGCACCGUCGUAUGAUGCGAUGGGGGGACGGAUCGCGGAAGGUUGUC
rnacentral:rRNA from 1 species